rnacentral:lncRNA from 10 species
GUUUAGAUUCAAUCUGGGCUUCCCAGCUCCCCCGCGCUUCUGUACCCGGGAUCUGAGAGUCAACACAGACCUUGAAAUCCCCGCACCGCUCCCUCCACCCCGUGUAAAUUCAGGCGUCUCCGUGAGAGUCCGGCGCUCGCUUCCCUGUGUGUUAAAAUCGCUCGGCGACGGGUCCUGUCCCCGCUCGUUCUGCCUUGGGCCAGACACAGGAGUGUUGCCAUGUUGUCCAAACUGGUCUCGAAAUUCUGGAGUCAAGCAGUCUGCCUGCCUCGUUCUCCAAACGUGCUGGGAUUACAGGCAUGAGCCACUACGCCUGGCCAAGUAUUCGGUAUUUAUAAAAUCUACAGUAGUACACAGUUAUGUCGUAGGCCAUCACAUUCGGUCACCACACACUCACUGACUCAUCCAGAGCAAUUUCUAGUCCUGCAAGCGCCAUUCAUGGUGAGUGCCCUAGACAGCUGUACCAUUUUUUAAACAUGUAUAUCAUAUUAUUAUUGUACCUUUUCUAUGUCGAGACAUGUUUUUAUUUACAAGUACAUACCAUUG